ensembl:lncRNA
GCUCUCUCUGGUGGCGGCGCGCAGGCCCCGGGCGGAGCCCCUGCCCAGCCCCGCUAGCACGUGCAGAUGCUGCGAGUCCCGAGGCAAGGCCAUGCUGUUCCAGGAGCAGUGUCUGGAAUGCCACAGGGCCCUGCAGGGCCUGAGCGUCUGCUGAUGGGACAUGACAUAAACACGUGACUGGAGCCGGCGGUCAUCAGAGGCACCGAGUCAUAAGGUGGUCGGGUCCACCGGCGAUCCACUGCCAUGGAAGGGGGCACUCAGGACGGGGCCCGAGCAGGUCUGUGGCACAGCCCCCGCUGUGGCCUGGUGGUUAACCUGCUGGUAGGGGCCGUCACUUGGGCCUCUGCGAGAAGAGGGAGCUGCUGCACACACGGGUGUCGGGAGGAGCCUCUCCAGAACCCACAACCCACCGGAGCUUCUCGCACUUCCCUACCCUGCGACAAUGACAACUGGGCAGUUACAGCAACCACGGCCGGACAGGACCAGGCCACUACAGUCUCAGACCCCUGAAGAAGAUCUGGAUCGUCCCACCAGGGAAACCUAGGCAGCUUUGUGCAGAUGGGGGCCAAUGGCCCAGCUCACUCUUGCCCAGAGCUUCUCUGACGCGGCGGAGGAGGACGCCCCCGAGGGACCUGCUUGGCACCCAGUCCCAGGAGAGCAGGACCUUGCUUGUCUUGGCCACUCGGGUCCUUGGUCUGGCACAGGGCCUGAUAGGAAUGUGUUGACAGAAAGAAUAAAAACGCCGAGUCGAGUGGGACUGCGGACUGGUACAGCCACGCUGGACGACGGUUUGCAGAUGUGCCUUUCGAGACGUCUCAUGUAAAUGGGAUCACACGAUAUGCAGCCGUCGGUGUCUAGCUGCUUCUACUCAGCACAGCGUUUUCAAGGUCCGUCCAUGUAGCACGCAUCAGUACCUCAUUCCUUUUUAUUAUGAUUAUAUUGUGCCAAAUUUAAUGUACUCCAUUUAAUUAUCCCGUGGAAUAAUAUUCCAGGUGGUAUAGCUGCAUACCACACUUUGGUUAUCCAUUCAUCAGUUGUUAAACAUUUGGGUUACUUCCACUUGUUGGCCAUAACUCUAUGUUUAACUUUUUGAGAAACAUCAGAACUGUUUUGCCAAGUGUCUGCCAUAGAGCAUUUAGUGAGCACCUGCUGUAUGCCCCUUUCAUUCUCACCACUACCCCACAAAGCAGGUAUUCAUUUCAUUUCGCUGUGGCACAGAGAGGGUUAUACACUUGCUCCGGGCCUCAUUGGAUCCAAAUCUGUCUGUGCUGUUAAAAGCAGGGCUGCUGUGAUGGGUGUGGGGUCUGGGAAUCAGACACUUGGUCACGUGACCCCUGGGGUACCCGUGGCAUACAGGGGCGUACCCCUUGCGGGUCUGGUGGGCAUAGGAGGAGAAACCUGCACGAAGGGUCUGGAGGCUGCACUCUCCCUGGAGGUGGGCCCAUGGCUCCCAGACAUGGUGGCAGAGAGGGUGGGGAAGGACAUGUGGGCCUCUGGCCGGGGUGGCAACUCUCCCAGCCCUCCUGGGCACCCCUCACCAAGGGACAGGCCGUUCCAAGCUGCCCCAAGGCUCGGCAAGGGUCCAGGAUACUGAUCCAAUUAUUGGUCAAAGGAAUCAAUGGGCGAUGGGGCAGAGCCAGCAGCCGCCGCAGCCAGGGCAUUUCAGGGCGUAAGGGGUGAGGGCGAGGGCCCGAGGCUCUGGCCCAGCAUUUUGGAGGUGAUUGUCCAGCUCUGCAUGGUUCUGCUCAGAGUUCUGGGGAGUCAGCAGGGAUGGGGGGCUGAGACGCCAGCCUGGGAGGGGAGCCCUGGCACUGCCCCCAAGUCUUUGCAGUGGCCCCUGGCCCAGGGGGACAGGUGGAACUGCAGGUCCAGAGGGCAGAACUGACACCCACCAGAGUGUCUCUGAGGGACAGCUGUGGCCGACUGCCAGGCCCCUCUCCCAUGGAGGCCAUGGGCCUGGGCCCUGAAGGCCCUCCCACCCGGGCCCGCCUGCCGGGGUUGAGCUCUCGUCCCAGCAGGGGCUGUUCCCAUGGGUGCCGGGCAUCACCGUCUGCGUGACUGCCCCGAGUUGCUGUUUUCUCUCUGCUGUCGGUCGGGUGGGGUGGUGUGGAGGGAGCUCCCGGUGCCUAGAGGUGUGUAAGAGGAGGCUGGACUUGGAGGGAUGCAGCAGUGGUGAGGCCCAACCCAGCUCCGGGUGAGCCAGGCUCAGAGACCGGAUGUGAUCUGGGUCCUGACCACAUGGUGGCCGCAGGUGGCUGGGGAGGGGUGGUCUGAGGUUCGGAGGGCAGCCCGGCCCCUCCAUCCUGUCAUGAUGGUGAGAUGGGCCGAGGCCACUGGCCCAGGAGGAAUGCACAGCCCCUUGCUCAUAAACCUGCUCUGCCUCCUCCCAGUGUGUGCCAGGAGGUCAUCCAGAGGUCACCUCAGGGUGCGCCAGCACCAGAGGCUGCUCAUCCCCGCGGGGCCCCAUGGCCUCUCAUGGGCCACUGCCUGGCGGGCGGUCCAGAGGUCAGACCCAGCCCAGAGCCGAAGCCCAAACCCCUGGGCGUUCUGGAAGCCCCAAGGAAGCUGCACAGAACAUGGGCUCUGAGUGCUCAAGGCUGCAGUCAAGGUUUCGGAGCUCUCAGACCGGGACACUGGGCCUCCUCCCCGGCCUCCGGUCCGCGGUCCACACGGCUGGCGUCAGGAGCCCCAGCCACGGGGGAGCCUCCGCUUGCACAGGACAGCCUGUGCUCCCUCAGAGGUUGCUCAGGUCAGGGCUCUGAGCUCAGGUGCGGGCCUAGAGGGCAUGGAGGCAGUGAGCAGGCCGCCCCAGUGUGCCCUCAGGGGCGAGUCUGAGGGUGCCACCAGCUCCCAGGGGCCUAGGCGUGGGUGGGCUCAUUGCCCCCCUCCGGCCCUGCUGGCGUUCUGCCCCUCCCCGGACGGGGCAGCCUUUCUGAGUAUGGUCCUCAGGCAGCAGGGCCUGGGCAGGCACCAGGGCUGCGGCUUUCUGGAGCCUGCAUAUGUAGCUGUGCUCGGGGUGCCCCUAUUGAAGCCCACAGAGGGCAGUCUGCGGGGGCCCAGGCCGAAGAAGAGGGGAGCACCUCCUGGGCUCCGGGGUGUGCUUCCCUCCAGGGAAGUCCUCUGUUCCAGGCAGGACUCAGUUAGCUCUGCCCAGGGUGGCAGGAGGGGCCCGGGCCUCUGAAGGACCCACAAGGGAGAGGGAGGUCUGAGGCCCCACUUCUCCCUCAGGGGCUCUCCUGCCACCUCCCGCUGUGGCUACCUGCACAUCAGAGUCCAGGAGGGACUGGGGAGUCACAGCCAGGCUUGGGCCUCCCCCUCCCGCCCUGGAGCAGGGGGUAGAGGGGCUCUGAAAAGUGGCGUGACGCCCUCUGAGCUCCACAGCACAAUCCAACAGCCAGGAGCCCCAGGCCCGGAGGCCCCUCAGAGGCCAGUGACGGGCAUGCAGCAGUCCUCGAGCCUCUGGAGGCUGUCCUCCGGGCGGGCUGAGUGGCCCCUCUCCCACGGAGGCGCCCCGCCCCCAGCCCACCUGCUAGCGUGAGCUCUUCCCAGCAGGGGCUGUUCUCAUGUGUGCAGUGAGGAAGGAAAUUGCAAAUUAAUCUUUAUUUCCAUCUUGGAAGAAAACCUUAAUUCUCUGCAUUGAAAUGAUCCUCGUCAUCCCAGGGAAUCAAUUAUGGGCUUUAAUUGCAGUGUGUCCUGGCCAAUCAGAGCAGGGCAGACCACGCGGCCCCUCUCUCUCCUCCCUUCUGCUUCUGUCUCCACCGCUCCCUCCUCCGGUGCAUUGAACUCUCUGAGUCUCUCUGUAUCUCUUUGUCUCUCUCUCUGCUUCUUUCUCUCUGUCUCUCCUGGUGUCUGUCUCUUUCCCUCUUUCCCUCUCUAUGACCCUGCCCCUCUCUCACUGUGUCUCGGCUGCCCGCCCGGCCAGCACAGAGCUCAGGCAUGAACACCCAGGCCUGAUCAAGCCCUGCGGGGGCUGGCUGGCCCCCAGGCUUCCUCCUGCACUCUGUCUCUUGUCCCAGAGCAGUAGCUUUGAGGGUGGGGGCUGAGGGUGGGAUGAGUUAUAGGCUUGUUCCUGUCCCCUGGGGUCUCUCCUGGGGUCACCCUUCUGCUGCCCCACAUUCCCCCAGAGCCCGCCGUCAUGGACCUGCCGAUCACCAAUAUGUCUCCCUUCCAGGCCAGCGUCCUGCCUGAGCUCUGUGCCUGCGCGUUUGCGUGGGGUCAUGAAGUGGGGUCAGGGCAGUGGUGACCGAAGGAUCUGGGGCCCCAGAGACACCAGGCCUUCAGGGAGGAGCUGCUCUGGGCUGGGGCUCAGGCAGGGGUCCAGGGCAGCCACAGAGGAGCAGCAGGGCCUCACCGACUCAGGACUGACUAGAGACCUGGUCGUCAGGAAAUGAGGGCCAAGCGGCUACAAGCAGAAGGCAACUGCAUGACCCUUCUUCUCGUCCAGGCCUCUGUGCUUGCUUCAGAACCCCUCCCCUUAUUCAUCUUCCAUCUGUGGCUAAACAUCAAUUCAGUCUCUUUGAACAUAAUUAAAACCUAAGAGGUAAGGCCAGAGUGCCCUUGGCCCACCCACCACCACCCUUUCUAGCCCCUUUAGGGCAGCCACUGG